GCCAUGUCUGUGCGCGCCACUGAUUAUUAUCACGCUCCCAUGUAUAAAUCAUGAUGAAAACCUGCAGGUGAUGCGUCUUCACUUCUCUCUGCUGCUGUUUCCCCUUCUCCUGUGAGGAGGAUCAUGGGUGUUGACGGGGGCCACAGAGCAGAUACGGGGGCCCCCCCAGCAGCCUGGGGCCCCCGCAGGUACAAGGCGUCCUCAGUGUGCGCCAGUGGGACAUCCGCGAUUUGACAGCUGCGUGGAGCUUUUCAGCCUUGUAAUUUCAGAUAAUAUCCCGAGCGCUCACUCUUCUCGGCAAUUUGUAUAUGAAUAACCGAAUAAUUUCCCCCUUUUGUUCCAUCUGUGCUACCUCAAAUCCAAAUAAAGAUGCCUUUUAGUAUUAAAAGUGGUUGAAAAUUACAGGUAAUUAUCUUUGACGGUAAAAACGCUGUAAUCAGCGGGCUACAUCAAAAAUUACCCUAAUUAUGCCUGCAUUUAUGAGAAUGGAAAAAAAGCCUCACUUGGAUAAAAACCCACAAAUUGUCCCAAAUAUCUCCUUCAUAUUGAACGCCACUGCAGCUGGCUGCUUUGUUCAACAUCGAUCCCGUGGAGCUUGGCAUUUAACGCCCUGCAUUAGGACGGAGAGAAGGGAGAAAACAUUUUGUCAAUACUUCUAAUAAUUGAGGGUGAAAUGACAAGAUAAGCUGGACGUGGAGCAAAUGGCUUUGGAGGUGAAUGUAGGCAGCAGCGGUGAGGGCCACUGGUCUCCGGCCCUCCUUCACUGCACUGCAUCCCCUUCUCUCCUCUUCAUCUCCCUCUUCAUAUCCACUCUACCCUUCUCUCCUAUUCCCCUCAACCCCACACCUCUCUCCCCCCAUUUUCCUUUGCACCCCCCCCCCCCCCAAAUAGGUACACCUCCACCCGCUCUUGGCAGCUCCAUCUCCUCCUCACAUCCCUCUCCUGGGUUGGUUUCCACAGCUGUGGUGAGUGAGGGGCAGAUGACCGGAGAAUUGGCCCCUGGGAGAGCGGUGAGCCAUCCUGGUGCUAUUAGGCUCGUGGCUAAUAAUAGGUGUUUCAGACCGGGGGAAGAUCAAUCAGGGGGAAUCAUGGGGAAUGUUCAGAGCAGCGCUUUUUACACAUCGGCCCAGAUGGAUGAAAUUACACUUGUCAGUUUUUAGUUGCAUUACUCCCAAAUUGGUUGUCUACUAUUUUUUUUCCCCCCUCUCUUCCUUUCUCUCUCUUUCCCCUCAUUCAUGUGUCAGUGGCCUGCUAAAAGGAUUCAGCGGUGAAAUCCGUCUGUAACAUUUUUGUCUCUUCCUUGUUCAGCUGCUCAGAGACAGCAGCUCUGCAGUCUGCCUGCAGUAUACGUGCACCGAGGAGAAAUCAGUGCAGGAUCCUGUCACACACACCUGAGCUGAUUUCCAUGUUGUGUUCCUGCAUGCAU